GAAGGUAGCAAGCAGCAACCAGCGAAGGAAACAGAGAGCAGCAGCUUAUUAGUUCUUUUUUUUUCCCCUUUUUUCUUCGUAUGAAUCCUAGUUUUAUUUCUUUUAAUUGUUCUGGAGUUAUUUUUAAUUUCUUGAAUCAAGUAGUAAUAACCACUUUUUCAUUUUUAUUUGUUUUUUAUGUAUUUUCUCCCUUUUAGUUUAUAAACCCUAACUUUCUAAUUUUAAUUCCUCUUGAUUCUGGACUUAAUUAAUUCAAUCAAAACAUAGUUUUUAUUGUUAAUUUUCUCCAUAUAUUACUUUCAUUAGCUUUUGUUGGUGAUUACUUCAAUCAUUCAAGCCAUAACCAUAAAGGUUGAGAGUUGGAAUUUUGUAGAUUUUUUUCACUAGUUAUCCAAUCUCUCAUAUUUUAUGGGUAACAUCUAAUGUCAUUGUAAUUUAUUAAUUUUAGUUAGUUUACGAUAUUUCUCAAUUGCUCUUGAUUAUUUGCUCUUGUCUUGUUCGUUUUUAUAUUUUUGAUGUUUGAAUGCUUAGAAUACAUGUUGUUAAUGGUUUUGAUGAUUAUGAUUAUGAGUAGUGAGUAGUUAGUUAGGGGUUGGAGUUAGCUCAACCUUUGUUAAUGGGUUGAUAAUGGUGGAAUAUUGGUUGACAGUUGUUUGAAUAGAGACUGAGUAGAAGGGUUGCUCCGUCUAUUGCUUGAAGGUUGUCAUGGUUGCUUUUGGGAGGCCAACGAGGGUUGGAUCCCGAAGUAACCUAAACCCUUGCUCAAUAAAUGGAGUUGGGUGCAAGGGAUCAACGAGAGUUGAACCUUGCAAUCGCCCCUUCAACUAGGAGUUUUCCCCUUCGCCUAUGAGAAUAGGGGAGGAUUGACGGAUAGUGGACUUUUGUUGUCUGAUUCUCUUGUCUUUACUCAUAAGAGUGAGCAGGAUGAGAUUUUCGGAGGUGAUCCCAAGCCCGAUCCAGGAUCGGGUCACUCUUUGUAUUGUGUUCCACUUCUCUCUAAUCAAACCAAAGAAAUCAAAACCUCUACUGUAGGAUAGCAGUCACAAGUGGUUUAACUCCAUCCCAUUGCUUCUUUGUUUGUUACUUUCAUAGUUGUAGUAGUAGUCUUGCUCGUCACCAAUCUUCCAUAAAUGAUUCCCCAACACCUAAGGAGGCCCUAAGUCUCGCACUUGUCUCCUUGUGGAUCGACCCCCUACUUGCCACUACACUUGUGUAGUUUUAGUUAAGGGUGUUUAUAAAUUUUGUUUGAUUAGAAGCAUUAGCAACGACACUAAAAAUUCCUCUGUCAGGAACGCCUUGAAGAGUUACUCAGAUACGCAGGAGUUUAAGGCCAAAAGCUCUCGCGGGAAGAGUAACAGGCGCAAAGAGGACUCUAGUGCGCCACCUUUGCCUACCUAUCAUGGUGGCCCGUAUUCUGCCGCGCGAUUGCGCGAAAAUAUGGCUGAGGGAUCUGGCAACGUAGAGCCUACUCCUUAUAGGUUGUUGUUACAAACCAAAGGUGUACACGACACGGAUGGCCAGCGUGUCCUAAUCACCGAAUAAGAUAAAAAAAAUUGAAGAGCACUACCGCAAAUUAGAAGUGGAAGCAAUAAGAAUGGGCGAAGAACAUGAUCACUCUAAAAUUUAUGUAGAGGCGACCAUGGAGGUAAAUAAAAAUAAAAAAUCGCCUUAUUUUCCCGAGUAUUAUGGUUUUGGGUUCGCCAAUAAAUACUACUAUCCUAAUCUGUUUGAGAGUUGUUUCACCCCUCGAGAGGAGUGUGCUACUCAAGAUGAAAUGAGAGCGCAUUUCUUCGAGAUUCAGCAUCUUAUGCAUGAAUUUCGCAUAUUCAUGCAAGCUUAACUCGACGAGAACAACCCUACUAGAGAAGAUAUAAGAGAAAUGCAGGCGCGCUUACAAGCCCUCGAAGAAACUCACAGCCAACUACGGAAUGCAUUAUAUGGGGAAAGCAAUAAUGCAGGCUGUGGUUCGGGAGUAGGUAGUCGUCAAUGUUGGGGUGGUGAUAUGGGUAGUAGCCCAGGUGGAUCAGGUGGUUCUCGGGGAUCGCAUAAUAGCCGCGAUGGUGGUAGCCGCUCUAGUCG